AGGGUUUGAUCAUGGCUCAGAUUGAACGCUGGCGGCAGGCUUAACACAUGCAAGUCGAGCGGUAACAGGUCGCUGAGAUUCCUUCGGGAUGAUCUUGAUGCUGACGAGCGGCGGACGGGUGAGUAACGCGUAGGAAUCUGCCCAGUAGAGGGGGAUAGCCCGGGGAAACCCGGAUUAAUACCGCAUACGCCCUAAGGGGGAAAGGCCGGGAUCCAUUUAUGGACCGGUCACUAUUGGAUGAGCCUGCGUAAGAUUAGCUAGUUGGUAGGGUAAAGGCCUACCAAGGCGACGAUCUUUAGCUGGUCUGAGAGGAUGAUCAGCCACACUGGGACUGAGACACGGCCCAGACUCCUACGGGAGGCAGCAGUGGGGAAUAUUGGACAAUGGGGGCAACCCUGAUCCAGCCAUGCCGCGUUGUGUUGAAGAAGGCUUUCGGGUUGUUAAAGCACUUUUCAGUAGUUGAGAAAGGGGUUUGAGUUAAUUAGCUCGAAUCAUU
rnacentral:rRNA from 1 species